UUGUCAGAGUGGUCAUAGAGAAUCCAACGAAGCAGCAACUUCACAGCUGAGACCGUACAAGAGCCAGAGAACUAGCUCUUGCCUGCGGAUCAAGACUUGCUGACUUGCUGGCUUGCUGACUCACUGAUAGACCUUCCAAGAGCCAGAGAACUAGCUCUUGCCUGCGGACCAAGACUUGCUGAUCCAGAGGCCUAUGUCGAGAGCCACGGACCAUUAUCAGGACAAGAUUGGCUUCGUGGCUGCACUCCAGGGACCCUGUCCCGGUCCACACCUGACCAGGCGAAAGCCUGCGAAGAGGCCACUUCUGACCACAGACAGACCCAGGGCCCAGAAAGCCUGACUCUGGACAAAUACCAAUGCCUGCAUCCCAGAGUUUCCUCUGUUGCCCACAUAUUAACGCAGUUUGGGGCCCCGAGGUUCACCCUUUCAAACCCUAGAGUUUGGAGUCUGGGAUAUUUAACAGGGUUCUGAGGUCGAAGAAACUGCAAACUGAAGAACACGCCAUCUCACCCAUCAUUCCCAGACAGGAAGGGAAUUUACUUCCAAAGGGCACCGUCCGGUUUCCCCAGCCUCUCUUGGCGAUGCUGGCGCCCUGCUCCAUCCCUCCCACUAAGUCUCUCUCAUCCUCCCUGGCCAAGUUGGCCUCCAUUUGUAAAAAUAGUUCGUGGAGAGGGCUGACUUUUACAUCGUCACCAAAUAAAGCAAUAACAACCAUC